rfam:Otolemur garnettii contig045969, whole genome shotgun sequence.
GCUGGGCACAGUGGCACGCGCCUGUAGUCCCAGCUACUCAGGAGGCUGAGACAGGAGGAUGUCUGGAGUCCAGGAAUUCUGGGCUGUAGUACGCUAUGCUGCAAUAAGGUGACCUCCCGGGAGCAGGGGGCCACCAGGUUACCUAAGGAGGGGUGAACCAGCCCAGGUUGGAAACAGAGCAGGUCAAAGCUCCCGUGCUAAUCAGCAGCGGGAUGGUGCCUAUGAAUAGGCACUGCACUCCAGCCUGGGCAGCACAGUGAGACUCCCUCUCUU